ensembl:snRNA U6 U6 spliceosomal RNA
UUGCUUCGGCAGCACAUAUUCCAAAAUUGGAAGGAUACAGAGAAGAUUAGCAUGGCCUCUGCACAAGGAUGGCAUGCGAAUUUGUGAAGGAUCAGGUGCGUAG